UACGGAAGGCAGCAGUGGGGAAUAUUGCACAAUGGGCGAAAGCCUGAUGCAGCUAUGCCGCGUGUAUGAAGAAGGCCUUAGGGUUGUAAAGUACUUUCAUCGGGGAGGAAAAAACAAAACUAAUAAUUUUAUUUCUUGACGUUACCCGAAAAAGAAGCACCGGCUAACUCCGUGCCAGCAGCCGCGGUAAUACGGAGGGUGCUAGCGUUAAUCGGAAUUACUGGGCGUAAAGGGCACGCAGGCGGUUAAUAAGUUGGAUGUGAAAUCCCCGGGCUUAACCUGGGAAUGGCAUUCAAGACUGGUUAGCUAGAGUCUUGUAGAGGGGGUAGAAUUCCAUGUGUAGCGGUGAAAUGCGUAGAGAUGUGGAGGAAUACCGGUGGCGAAGGCGGCCCCUGGACAAAGACUGACGCUCAUGUGCGAAAGCGUGGGGAGCAAACAGGGAUUAGAUACC
rnacentral:rRNA from 1 species